UGCCAGGGCCUCACCACCCUGACGAGGAAGAAUUUCUUUCUAAUAGCUAAUCUAAAUCUACCCUCUUUCAGCUUAAAACCACUACCACUCAUCCUAUCACUACAAUUCCUAAUACCUUGAACAUCUAUAUCCCCUCUAAGGAUCUAGAGGCAGUUUUGCAAUCAACAGAAAAAGUUUCAGGAGAAUGGUAUUUUUACCCAUUAGGUGACUUCAGUGCUCAACAUCCAUUGAUUUCAACACAGAAGAAGUUUUUAAACUUAAAUAAAGUUUUAUUUUCCUGAUUAGCUCCUAUGAACACAGCUUCUGGGUGCCCAGUCUCUCACAAAAAAUCAAAGGAAUCCUGCAUGCAAAGCAAAAGCACAGUUGUCACUUUAGUUUACUCAUGCUUGUCCCAGAAAAUGAAAAGAGGCUCUUUCUAACUUUGUUUUUUUUUAAUGCACUCGUGCAAUACAGUUGUGUUUGGAGUUAAACUUCUUAUUGUCAUGUUGGAAACCCAAACUGUGAAUGCAAAUCUCCUGAUGGCUUAGUACCAGACCUCUGAGUCUCAUUGCAGAGACGUCUUUGAAAAUUUGGCCUCAUUUUGUAGUGACAAAGUGACAGAUUCCUCUUGUAAGGAAAUUCUGGUGAGCAGAGUGCCUGGAGGUUUGGCUAAUUUGCUAGGAUUACAAUUUGGGUUUUAAUGACAGUAGCUUAGUUUUCCCUCAAACCAGCCAUCAAAAUAGAGCCCUGCUUUUGGAGAAAACCAAAUCCAUAAAAAUACAAAAGUAGGGUUAUCCCACCUGACUGAUGUUCCAAAUCUCCCAGCUAAGCCUGUGUUCCCCUUGUCACAUUUCCUCUGCUAGAACCUGGGACUGGUUUUUAAUGUUCUUGCAUUGCUUUGAGCAGCCAGGAUUCUUGGGAAACUCCCUUUCACCCUGUUUAUUUCAGCAAUUAAUUGCGAUUUCUCUCCCACGCUGAUCCCAAGCAUAUACCUUAUCUUAUCCUUUUAAGCUCUCCUUUAAGGACCUAGUGGGAUGGGUGGGGUGGUUCCCCUUCUCCCAUCCUGAACUUGCGUUGCUCUGCCACACAAAAGGGAAGCCUUGAGCCACAAUCAAGUCCACCAAUUCCUUCACUUGUUCAAAGACACCUUUUUGUGAUAGAAAUUCUCCUCAAGCCCUUGCCAAUUAAGCUCAGUUUAAUAACUCUGACCAUUUAUGUGACAUAUUUCAUCUUGGAAGAGCUAAUAAAACCACAAAUUACUGUUCACAGUGCUCCCAAGAGGCAGAUCAUCAUCAUCACAUUCUCACUCCUUUGAUAGGGAAACUGAGGCAAUUUGGUUUUUAGGACAACAGAGUGGAGUCUUUGCCAAACUACCCAGGUGAGUUCAGUGCUGUGCAGUCUCCCAUGUGGGACAAAAGUCUUCUUCUGCUGGGUAUAAUGGGAGAAUCUCCUGUUUUUCAGGAAGAUGCAAAGGUGAAAAGGGGGAGCCAGGCUGUGCAAAUGAUGUCUGUGUAUCUUCCAAUUCUCUGCUGGGCAUUUGAACUUAAAAUGCCAGCAACACUCUUCUCCCUUGUUCUCAAGAGGAAAGCUAUAUCUGGAGUAGGGCAGCAUGCCUUAAUUUGAGAAAUUUAAUGCCUUCGAAACACUACCAAAGCACAAUUAGCAAAUAAAAAAACCCCCAGAAGUCAAGGCAGGAGACCUGAGUAUGCAGUUCAAACAUCAAAGGAAUAUUACCUGUGCUUUCAUCUCCCUUUCCUCUUGUGAGUCAAAGUUACAACAUAUUACUGCAUAUUCUAAGCAUUUUCUAUUCUGAAAGCUUAAAUGCCAGUGUAAUUACCCCAAUGGUAAUUUCUGUUGUGCUCUUCCAGGCUGGUACUUCAGCAGAGUCUCCCAGUUUUCACUUGAUUAUCUCCAUCUCUGCCUUUGAUAGGUUUGUCUUCAAUUCACUCUGGAUUUGAACUGGUCCACAUUCCCUGAAAUCUGCUUUGAAUGCUGUCAAACGAGAAUGAACUUUGCAGUUGAGGAUUAUUGACAAAUCUGCUUGAAAAAGAUGCGUGAAGAACAUCCUUUAUGGUCCAUCUUGUGGUAAAACCUCUUUCAGGUUUACCUGUCGGAUUUUUUCCCCCGUGUUCUCCAUUUUUCGACAAGACCCUCCAAAAGAGUUGCUGUUUUUCUUGUGUAGGCUUGACAUGGACAUAAACUUUUUUGCAAGAAGCCUGAGCUACUGCUAGCAGCUCCUGAAGAGCUCCAAGUCCGACGUGGGUUUAAUUUGUGGUGAGUGCCAUGGCAGAACUGUCUAACAAUAUAAGUCUGUUGGACAUGUCGUCUGGGCUGUCACGUUCAAUUUGCACAUGACCUCCUAGCCAAAAAAUGGGAAAGAAGUGGUAGAAUGUGGGACUGAAAGCUUAUAUUAUUGCUUUGACAGCUUCACUCAUCUAGAAGUAAUGCAAAAUGCAAUUUAUAUUUAUACUCUCUGACCUUCUGUACAGAGAGUGAAACUAUCUAAUGAUGGGCCAUGGUAGCAGAGAAAGAAACAGAUCUCAAUACAGCUGGAAUUUGUCUACAUUUUUUGCUUUUCAACCAUUCAAUUACAGUCAAAAGAUAAAUGAAACAUGAAGAGUGCCUUGGUUAGGUAGUGACACAAUUAUUUUAUAGUGAGUAGGUUCUGGCUUUGAGCCUUGGCAAAGGUUGCCAUGCACGCCUUGUUUCACUAGAUACAGAUAAUCUGCCUGCUCCCACCGGACAAAUCCCCUCUGCUUGGAGGUGUGUCCUUCUGCCCAUCACAGGAGGAGAAGAAAGACACCAGCAACUCAGUACCACUCUUCCCCUGCAUUUCAAUAUCCUCCAGAAAGGCUGAUGCUCUAAUCCUAUUAACCACGAUAAAUCAAGUCAGGCCCAAUUGUAAACGGGACGUGAAGCAUUUCUGUGGAAAAUAGGCAGAAAGGAAGAAUGUGCCACAUUCUUCUCAUCUGAGGAGCAGCACAUGGGUUUGUGUCCUCCCAGGGAAAAGAAAUAAAUCCAUCAGCCUUUGAUUCUGACAGGAUCCACCAGGUAACACCUGAAGAUCCUUAACAACACAUCUCAGAGCUGAUAUCGUACUGCCACAGCUCAGCAUCCUUCAGAGGGGUUGACUGCAGCCACGACUGUUCAGAGCAGCACAAUUUGGCUCAAAAAUUCAGCCUCCAGCUGCACCUGUUUCUCCCUUCUCAUCCAAACAAGACACAGGAUUUUCAGGGAAAGUUACUUGCAGGAACAAGCAUUAAGGGAAGAUAGCAAACACAGAAAACAGAAGUGUGGGAUUUAUGCAUCUCAGUGUAUUUUGGACAGCUGCAUCAGUUUGAACUCAUCUCUUCACUCCAUUGAUCCAUCCUGCUUUAAAUAGGAGUCGAUCCAAAGUCCACUGACCUUAGUAGUGAGAGUUUCAUAAAUGGUUGGCAGCUGUGAAACAGGUUUAGAAAUUAGGUGUUCAUAUAAACCAGUCACUCCUUUUCUUUUCUGUUAUAAUUGUUUUGUUCUGGUUUGCCAUGUUUUGCUCUUGUACAGUGAACUAAUAAAAAAAAAUAUCAUUGGAUGAAGAUUUCAGCUGA